GACGAACGCUGGCGGCGUGCCUAACACAUGCAAGUCGAGCGGAGCCAUCUGGAAGAUCCCUUCGGGGUGAUUUUGGGGAAGCUUAGCGGCGGACGGGUGAGUAACGCGUGAGUAACCUGCCCAUUAGUGGGGAAUAACACAGAGAAAUUUGUGCUAAUACCGCAUACGGAAUAGUUAUCGCAUGGUAACAGUUUAAAAGAUUUAUCGCUAAUGGAUGGACUCGCGUCUGAUUAGAUAGUUGGUGAGGUAACGGCUCACCAAGUCGACGAUCAGUAGCCGAACUGAGAGGUUGAUCGGCCACAUUGGGACUGAGACACGGCCCAGACUCCUACGGGAGGCAGCAGUGGGGGAUAUUGCGCAAUGGGGGGAACCCUGACGCAGCAACGCCGCGUGCAGGAUGACGGCC
rnacentral:rRNA from 1 species